rnacentral:tRNA from 1 species
ACUAAGAUGGCUGAAGUAAUAAGCAGUAAAUUGUAAAUUUACUUAUGAAUAUAAAUUCUCUUGGUA